UGCCCCCUCGGGGCGCAGCAGUGGGGAAUAUUGGGCAAUGGGCGCAAGCCUGACCCAGCAACGCCGCGUGAAGGAAGAAGGCUUUCGGGUUGUAAACUUCUUUUAUGAGGGACGAAACAAAUGACGGUACCUCAUGAAUAAGCCACGGCUAACUACGUGCCAGCAGCCGCGGUAAUACGUAGGUGUCAAGCGUUAUCCGGAUUUACUGGGUGUAAAGGGCGUGUAGGCGGGACUGCAAGUCAGAUGUGAAAAUUAUGUGCUCAACGCA
rnacentral:rRNA from 1 species